rnacentral:rRNA from 1 species
GAGAAUCUGCCCUCAGGACGGGGACAACAGCUGGAAACGGCUGCUAAUACCCGAUGUGCCGAGAGGUGAAAUCUAAUUGGCCUGAGGAUGAGCUCGCGUCUGAUUAGCUAGUUGGUAGGGUAAGAGCCUACCAAGGCGACGAUCAGUAGCUGGUCUGAGAGGAUGAUCAGCCACACUGGGACUGAGACACGGCCCAGACUCCUACGGGAGGCAGCAGUGGGGAAUUUUCCGCAAUGGGCGCAAGCCUGACGGAGCAAGACCGCGUGCGGGAUGAAGGUCUGUGGACUGUAAACCGCUUUUGAUAGGGAAGAACACAAUGACGGUACCUAUCGAAUCAGCCUCGGCUAACUCCGUGCCAGCAGCCGCGGUAAUACGGAGGAGGCAAGCGUUAUCCGGAAUUAUUGGGCGUAAAGCGUCCGUAGGUGGUGAUGCAAGUCUAUUGUCAAAGCAUGAGGCUUAACCUCAUACCGGCAGUGGAAACUGCAUUGCUAGAGUGCGAUAGGGGCAAGGGGAAUUCCCAGUGUAGCGGUGAAAUGCGUAGAUAUUGGGAAGAACAUCGGUGGCGAAAGCGCCUUGCUGGGUCUGCACUGACACUGAGGGACGAAAGCUAGGGGAGCGAAAGGG